rnacentral:rRNA from 1 species
ACGCACUGUAAAGACAGCGUUAAAGCUCAACAAUUAAACAAUAUUUAAUUCCAUCAACAAAUUAACCAACUCCUAGACCCACUACUGGACUAUUCUAUUAAAAAAUAGAAGCAAUAAUGUUAAUAUGAGUAACGAGAAACAACUUCUCCCCGCAUAAGUUUAAGUCAGUAUCUGAUAAUACCCUGACUAUUAACAGUAAAUAAAAAUAACCCAAAAAUAAACAAUUUAUUCACCAUACUGUUAAUCCAACACAGGAGUGCACCCAGGAAAGAUUAAAAGAAGUAAAAGGAACUCGGCAAACACAAACCCCGCCUGUUUACCAAAAACAUCACCUCCAGCAUUCCCAGUAUUGGAGGCACUGCCUGCCCAGUGACAAAAGUUAAACGGCCGCGGUAUCCUGACCGUGCAAAGGUAGCAUAAUCAUUUGUUCUUUAAAUAAGGACCUGUAUGAAUGGCCACACGAGGGUUUUACUGUCUCUUACUUCCAAUCAGUGAAAUUGACCUUCCCGUGAAGAGGCGGGAAUAAGAAAAUAAGACGAGAAGACCCUAUGGAGCUUUAACUAGUUAGCUUAAAGAAAAAAACUUUACCACCAAGGGAUAACACUAAUCUUAAUAAACUAACAGUUUCGGUUGGGGUGACCUCGGAGAAUAAAAAAUCCUCCGAGCGAUUUUAAAAACAAGACACACAAGUCAAAUUGAACUAUCGCUUAUUGAUCCAAAAAUUUGAUCAACGGAACAAGUUACCCUAGGGAUAACAGCGCAAUCCUAUUCAAGAGUCCAUAUCGACAAUAGGGUUUACGACCUCGAUGUUGGAUCAGGACACCCCGAUGGUGCAACCGCUAUCAAAGGUUCGUUUGUUCAACGAUUAAAGUCCUACGU